rnacentral:lncRNA from 1 species
AGAGUGCCUGUCCUCCUUGGGCUGCUGUCUUGGGGUCCUCCACAUCACAUCAUGAGAACUGUUAUGGAGACUCUCCCCGCCCGGAGAAAAAUGAAGAAAAAAUACCUUUUUCGGGGAAUAGAGGACUUAAGGAAUCUGUUCUGGUAGAAACUGUUUCACUUGCAAUUUCAACCCCACUUGAGUUUGUUGGUUGGGCUUCGUGGUUUUCUAAAGUCCUUGGAAUUGGUGCCCAGCAUGAAGAGUUUAAGUCAAAGUUAGGUAAGCAACUUAUACCUGUACAUGUUCCAGUUUAUUAAGUGCUUUCCUGAGCCUUUAGAGUAAUCCUAUGGGGGAUGUCCAAAGAGAGGUUUAUUUUCUCAUGAACUGAAGAAACUAAAGCUUGGAGAGGUCACAAAUAUACCUAGUGGCAAAACCAGAACUUAAAUCUAGUUCUUUUGAUUCCAAAGCAAAGUUUGGUUCUUGCCAGUAUACCUUAUCAUAAUGAUAUCGGUAUUUGUGUGGUGUCCAUUUUCCAAUAGGCAGUUGUUAAAGGAAAAUUUGUGGUACAUAAAUACAUAAAAGCUGAAUUAAACACAAAUGGAGCCCCUAAAAUGGGAUAAAGGAAGGGGAUAUAAUGUAAUGGUUUCUCAAGUUACUUGCACAAGAAAUUGUUUUUUUCCCAAAUGAUCCCAUGAAUACAUUUUCGGAGUAAGACUGUUUUGCAAAUGUUAACUUAAGAUAAAUUACCAGAAGUUUUCUUCCUUUAAUUUAAAUCCUCUUUCCAUUUCAGGUAUCUUGUGUUUUGUAGUAAACUGAGUCUGUUUUGGGGGUUCUUCUAUCUCCCCUUCCAAUUCCCCUCUCAAUUCGCCUGUGUUGGCACCCCAUUUAUUAGUUUAGGCCAAAUUCCUUAUUUUAUUCUUAUCAGAUCUUAUUCCCCAUCUCAGAAUAUUUGUUGAUUUUCAGAAAUUAACCUCAGGUAUUAAAUCUCUUAGCCAUAUCUGCAUUUUAAUGGAGAAUUAUUUGGAGAGUGAAAAUAAUUCAGCCUACAGAGAAUGAAUUCUAAUGUGACAUUUCAGACACCAUAUCAAAUGGUGGGGAAAGUGCUUUUUAAAUAUGAAACUGUAUUUAUUCCUAGGAAACCAUGUGUUUGGGGCAGUUUUAGGGAUAUCUGGUGAUGAGGUUAAGUCUGUGAUUCAGUUUAAUCCCCAUUAGAGCUCAGGGAUGUUAGAGACUGUAUUAUAUUUAAUUGAAGAAAAUUAGAUCAGGAGUGUGACAAGUUAGGGAUACAAUCUCAGGGAACAUGG